ACUGGCUACCCACCAUUCACUACUGUAUUAGGCUAUGGUUAUUCUACUAACCCAACAGUCUUGCACGUCAUGUCUUGCUGUUGAGACUGGUUAAUUAGUACUAGUAGCUUUGUCUUGGCGUACAACCUGUUUUGGCAUAAACCCAGCCAUGAUGCUCUACUUAUUUUUAUCCCUAUUGCUACAAAAGGUAUCAAAACAUAUGGACCGUUAAUAUUCUAUCUGUCAUCGAUGCAUCGUACUAAUAUACUAGUAACCACUGACCCCUUGUUACGCGGAUCUGUCAUCUUCAUGGGCACUCAAAGGCUUGGAUAUACACGUGUAUGCAUUCACGGGUGAGGUGACUCCACCUUUUUACCGGGAGAUGUUUACAUGGGUCGGAGACGGAACAUUUCGGGGACGGAACACGACAUGCUGCAUGAGAGCAAGCUGUGUAUGUGUUUUGUCCUGUCGGUCGAAUCAAUAACACAGAAAUGAGGUGCUGGUGCAGCUCUUUUUCACUAUUUGGUCAAUCAUGUUUGCAUAGAAAUGGUAAAAGGCUAGUAGCAAGAUAAAGUGCCCUGUUCUAGAAUCUUUUCUUCUCGGGUCAAUGGGAUGCAUGGCACAUUGGCACGGCCUGUGUCCUGUGUUUUGCAGCCCUCCCCUUCUGGUUGUCUUGGCAUCGAUUUUGCUUUGCAGUGUUCUGACUUGUGUUCGUACCUGUGCUUUGCUGCCUUUCUCUAAAAGGCUCGAGCUUCUUUACAGAAA